rnacentral:lncRNA from 1 species
GUCUAGCUAACGGACGAUGUCUGAUAUAAACAUACAUGUAGUUGUCCUAGUUUUAUUUACUGAUAAUGUCUUAGUAGUUGGUAGUUACAGAACAUAUAUAACUAGAAACUACUUGUAAUUAUUUUUUUUUUUUUUUUUUUUUAAUUUGAUCAUACUUUAUUGAUAGUUUGACAUUUGUUAGUGGAUACAUCAAAUACCGGUACCUUAUCCCGGCCUCGUGAACCGUUAGUAGCAUUUAGUCAAUUUGGUUA